rfam:Hordeum vulgare subsp. vulgare, WGS project CAJW01000000 data, contig: morex_contig_8515
CAUAUACUCCCUCCGUCCGAAAAUACUUGAAAGAUGAAUGUAUCUAGACUUAUUUGAGUUAUAGAUACAUCCAUUAUAUCUAUUUUUAGGACAAGUAUUUCUGGACGGAGGGAGUAUAUU